rnacentral:rRNA from 1 species
UACGUAGGGGGCAAGCGUUUGUCCGGAAUCACUGGGCGUAAAGCGCACGUAGGCGGCUUCUUAAGUCAGGGGUGAAAUCCUGGAGCUCAACUCCAGAACUGCCUUUGAUACUGAGGAGCUUGAGUCCGGGAGAGGUGAGUGGAACUGCGAGUGUAGAGGUGAAAUUCGUAGAUAUUCGCAAGAACACCAGUGGCGAAGGCGGCUCACUGGCCCGGUACUGACGCUGAGGUGCGAAAGCGUGGGGGAGCAAACAGG